UGUUCCUUCCCCAGAAGAAAAAGCAGCUGUCGGAGCUUUCUCUCCUUAGGUCAGAAAGUAUAACAUGUCAAGCCUGGACUUGUCGUCGAAAGUCUUGCUUAUGGCUUAUUUGCCUAUAUCUGAGAAACAACAAAAGAAUCACAGCUGGAUUUGUAGAUGCUUCUAAUAGAGGAAAAAUGCAGAGUAAAAAGCUCCCCAAGACAAGCUCAGAAAGGAUGAUGUUCACCACGAUUAAGUCUCCAGUCAGCCAUGUGAG